rnacentral:rRNA from 1 species
AAACUGGAGAGUUUGAUCCUGGCUCAGAGCGAACGUUUGCGGCGGGCCUAACACAUGCAAGUCGAACGAGAAUCCCUUCGGGGAGGA